GUAAACAAUUGACCUUACGACAGCGGCUUCUAAGCCACGCCCCCUGAUAUCAAGGGAGCGAACUCUGUCUAUGUCCGUCAAACAAACGAGGAAGUAAUGGCGUCUCGUGUCGUUUCGCUUUCCGAUAUUCCUGACAAAUUAUCAUAAAUGUGAAAUUACAAUGCGAAAAAAAUAGAAGUCAAAGGAAUUUGUAACUGGCUGCUACAUCGGAAGGCUCGAUAUAUCUUUAGAAAAUGACGAUAUCUAACAUUUACGGGGUGAAAUCUAUCCAAGUCAGAGAAAAUCGGAUAGCCGCCAUGUUGUCAAUAUUGACAUCGAAACAAAGGAAAAGCGUGUGUGUGACGCAUACUGUAAAUGCAAACAAGGAAAUUGUGGAACAUGUUCACACACUCUGGCUGUAAAAGUAGACCUGGGAGGAAAAGUGCCCCCGGUGUGGGGCUCGAACUCACAACCACCAGAACCGCGCGGCACUCUAACCAACUAAGCUGACCGGGCAGCUGGUUCUAACCCACACACACUACCCUCCCCCCAUUUACCGGUUAAGGCUGGUGGAGGGUCUCCUGUUAUUGAACGUUGACACCAUUAAAGUAUUCUGAUUGAUGGAGAUAAGGAAGUCCCCUUAUUAUUGUCUUCAACAAGCCUACCGCCACAGGGGACCUAGCAUAAGACCGGAAACCGCCCCCCCACACACACACACACAUGAUAUUUGCCAGUCCAGGCAAUGUCAACCACAAGAGAAAACCAGUGAUGACAAGUUUUACAAAUAAUCGGAAAGUGUGGUCUUUUGAAGAGAGUUCUUGAAGUUGUUCAGCAUGUUGUUGCAUAUUUAAUAUCAGAUUUAUUAAAUACAUUGUUGUUUUACAAACAUUACUUAAAUUUUGAUAUUUCUGUGGUGUUUAUGUAUGAUAUUGUAGGUGAAUAUCUCUUUAUUGCAAUGGCAAAUAUAUUUUAAAAUAUAUAGCAUUAGCAGAAGUUAUUUUUCACUGUUAAAGCUGCACUUUCACAGAUUGAUCACUUUGACAACUUACACAGGAUUUGAUUGCAUUUAUCAUAUUUUGGCUCGGAGAAGUUUGCUGUGUGAUUUAUAUAUUAGGUCUUAAUUUAAAGAAUGCCAAAAUAAGCCGAUUCUGAGACAAAAAGUGUCAAACUAGAAUUCUGUGAGAGUGCAACUUUAAGAAUACUGUUAAUCGAGUGUGCAUGUGAUCCGGACUCUGAACAUUGGAUGAACUAUCAUUAAAUAUUGUAGAUUAACGUAAAUGGCCCAAAAUAUAAGAAUAACAAUGAAAAUAUGUA